AGCGGAGUAGCGCAGUUCGGUUAGCGCCGGGCCCAUAACCCAUAAGCCGCGGGUUCGAAUCCCGCCUCCGCCA
rnacentral:tRNA from 1 species